rnacentral:rRNA from 1 species
UACGUAGGGUGCAAGCGUUAAUCGGAAUUACUGGGCGUAAAGCGUGCGUAGGCGGUUUGUUAAGUCUGUUGUGAAAUCCCCGGGCUCAACCUGGGAAUGGCAAUGGAUACUGGCAGGCUAGAGUGUGUCAGAGGAUGGUGGAAUUCCCGGUGUAGCGGUGAAAUGCGUAGAGAUCGGGAGGAACAUCAGUGGCGAAGGCGGCCAUCUGGGACAACACUGACGCUGAGGCACGAAAGCGUGGGGAGCAAACAGG